GAUGAACGCUGGCGGCGUGCUUAACACAUGCAAGUCGAGCGGAAAGGCCAGUGCUUGCACUGGUGCUCGAGUGGCGAACGGGUGAGUAACACGUGGGUGAUCUGCCCUGCACUUUGGGAUAAGCCUGGGAAACUGGGUCUAAUACCAGAUAGGACCAUGCUUUGGAUGGUGUGGUGGAAAGUUUUUUCGGUGUGGGAUGAGCUUGCGGCCUAUCAGCUUGUUGGUGGGGUAAUGGCCUACCAAGGCGUCGACGGGUAGCCGGCCUGAGAGGGUGUACGGCCACAUUGGGACUGAGAGACGGCCCAGACUCCUACGGGAGGCAGCAGUGGGGAAUAUUGCACAAUGGGCGCAAGCCUGAUGCAGCGACGCCGCGUGGGGGAUGACGGCCUUCGGGUUGUAAACUCCUUUCGCAACUGACGAAGCUUUUUGUGACGGUAGGUUGAGAAGAAGCACCGGCUAACUACGUG
rnacentral:rRNA from 1 species